UACGAAGGGGGCUAGCGUUGUUCGGAAUUACUGGGCGUAAAGCGCACGUAGGCGGAUUGUUAAGUCAGAGGUGAAAUCCCGGAGCUCAACUUUGGAACUGCCUUUGAUACUGGCAAUCUAGAGUCCGGAAGAGGUUAGUGGAAUUCCCAGUGUAGAGGUGAAAUUCGUAGAUAUUGGGAAGAACACCAGUGGCGAAGGCGGCUAACUGGUCCGGUACUGACGCUGAGGUGCGAAAGCGUGGGGAGCAAACAGG
rnacentral:rRNA from 1 species